CUCGUCGCAUGAUUCCUCCCUCACCCACGCCGCGCGGCGCUCGCACGUCGACGCCGCCACCGCGCGUCGACAGUGGCCAAGGACGACCGCCGCCUACGCCCGGACGGGUUCCUCCUUCCUUACGGCAUUCUCGCCCGCAUCUCCGCACUCGCGCGUCCCUCCCCACGCGCCGACUGCCGCGGUUUCCACCGAGGGAAGCAUCGCGCUGCCCGGCACAGCGCAUCCGACCACCGGCCUCCCUGUUCACGACUCCCAUAGUCGCCGGGCACGAACUUGUGCCCUGUUGCCGCCGGUGACCCCCCAGAUCGGGAUCCCCGGUCCUGUACACAGCUGCAACUGUGCGUCCGACCCUCGGCGCAACUCCUUGUGGUGUCUUCGUAGCGCUGCCGCUGGAACAUGCCACCGCGAGCAACCCGGUUGUCUUGCGCAGUCGCGUUACCAUCGUGUGCAGCCGCCGUGACUCGCGAGCAGCCCUGCCCAGCCUCCCCUGGUUCUUGUCGAGGGUUAGCAGAUAGAGGAUGUGUGUCACUCAGAGGUCUUCGCUGCCAGUCCCACUCGAGUUCAGAUUUCCGAGUUUGGAUUUCUAUAUGAGUGUUACUUUACUUUCCGCUGCUUAUAGUUUGAGUUUCCACUUUGUAUCGAAUGUUUAUAUCGUUGAUUAUGUUUUUAGUUAAAUUAAUUUGCUUCGUUAGUGAUGUGGAAAAUCUGAAGGAAUUUAUGUUCCUGAAUUGAUGAUUCUGUAUUUUCAAAAAUCUAUUUCUGAAACAGAGUUCAAAAAGCUAGAAACUGUGAUAGCAGAAGUCUUAUGUGUAUGCUGUGGUGCUCUACGAUUUCUUCUUUUUGCUUUCAAGUAAUGUAACGUGAAUGCAUCUUUCAAGUGGUUUGAAAGGAGAAUGUAAAUCUCGGGAGUUGCAGGAACCAAUGGUAAUUCCAAAUUUCUGAAACUGUACCCUUGAAUCUGUUUGCUUUGUCUAAUAAUUCAUAAUUUCUGAAACUUUGUUGAAACAA